CCUUUAAUUUUAUGAUAUCACAAUCUUUAUAAUACUAAAAGAUGUGUUUAUUAUUUUUUUAUACGUAAUUCGACGAAAUGUUUUUCAUGCUAUUUCACCAAUAUCUUACAUCAAUACAUUUUGUUCUUUACCACCACAAAGUCACCUCUCUUUAAUAGUACUUAUAUCAUUACAUCUAAACCAAAGAUUUGAUUUUUUUUACCAAAUGCUUUAAAACGCGCGAAGAAACAAAACGAUAUUACUUCAUAACAAAUUGUCAAAGUGUCAACUGAUACAAAAUGAGUUAAUGAGCGGGAAAACAGGACGGCGGAAAAGUGACGUUUUCUUAUAACGUUUUCGACCGUUCACGACUAUGACCGAAUCCGUGAGGCUGCAUAACCAACGCCCAACAGUGCCGGUGCUAAGGCGGGGUGAAACAUGUGACGGUGUACGUUAGGACGUAUCGGUCGUAUCGCCACAAUGUUAUCGUUUUGAUUACGACAGGCCGCAGCGACCACAGCGAAGUCUUUUUUCAGUUUUCGGAACUGCGCUUAGUACAGCAAGAGCCCCCCCAAUCGAGAAACGGGCGAACUACUUGGCGUUUUAUUAUAUAGAUCGUUGGAGAUAGGAAGAACAAAGAACAUUUUUGAUCUCUUAACUUUAUCUAUUGUUUAAUGUUUAAUAGUUUCUUAUUUAUUUUAAUAUAUACCUAAGUUUAGUAUACAGUGAAUAUACACAGUAUACAGUUUGCUUAACGUUAAACUACUGGUGGAACUUUAUUAACUAUUGUCUAUUCUUAGAUGUUAAAAUGAAUUGUAAUUAUUAACUGUUUGUACCAGAAAAUGUGAUUAUACUAUUAAAACUACUCAUAUAAUAAUAAUAAUAAUAACAAAAUAAUUGACUGUUAAACAUUUACAUCAUCAUGCAGCCAAUGAAACCUUUUAAAAUUAAUAAGAAAACUGGACCUAAAGAUAAAAAUAAAGUACCUAGACAGCAAUCUAAAAGUAAUCGUGGUGAUGAUGAUGAUGAUUUCUUUUUGGACAAUAGUGGGCCGUCAAAUAUGAAUGAUGAACAAAAUUCAAGAUCAUUUCAUCCUCCUAAUUUGAAAGGAAGAAAUAUUGACUCAUGGCAUGCUCGUAAACAAGCAAGUAUGAUAGAGGAUAAAGAAAUAAUUGAUAUGACAAGACCUAAAAUCAAGCCACCUCCUGGUUUAACAGGUCAUGAAUUAGAUAUGUGGCAUAAAGAAUAUAAUCGCUUAUGGCAAAAAUCCAUAAAGAAAAAACAACAAAAAGAAAAAGGAAAAUGUUUUAUUAAGUUAGGAAUUGAAGAAAUUAGUCGUAUGGAAAUGCAAUUUCAACAACUUGAAGAAGAAAUGCCAAUUAUUGAUGAAAAUAUUAAACCGUCUGUUAUAUCAAAUUCAAAACUGAAUAAAAAAGUUCACAGCAAUCAUAAGGCUUUAAAUCUUUUGACAUUAAAAGAUGAAGAUGUAGAUGAAAAUGCUGAGUACAUAAUUGAUAGAUAUAAAAAACUGGAAGAUUCAAAUUUCAAAAGAAAAUUUUUAGAUAACAUUACUGGAUCCAUGGAAAAAAAUCUUGUCGCGUCUAUUCAAAGUAAUAUGAAGCUUCAAAAUGAUGAAUCAAAAAAUGCAUAUUUGAGAAAUGAACUUGAAAAUAAACGUGAAACUGUCAAGUAUAGAUCUAUGUGUGAAAUCAGAAAGAAACUGCCUUUUUAUAGCAAAAAAGAUGAAAUUUUAGAACUGAUUCAUAAGAAUCAAGUUAUACUGAUAAGUGGCGAAACAGGCUGUGGUAAAACUACUCAAAUGGCCCAAUUCAUUCUUGAUGAUGCUAUUAUGUCUGACCGUGGUUCAACAUGUAGAAUUGUUUGUACUCAACCAAGAAGAAUCAGCGUUAUAUCAGUGGCUGAACGUGUUGCUGAUGAAAGAGCUGAGCAUGUAGGAGAAGCAAGUGUUGGUUAUCAAAUCAAACUGGAAAAAAAACUGGAACGUGAAUAUGGAUCUAUACUGUUUUGUACCACUGGUAUUUUACUUCAACAUAUUCAAAGAGAUUCAGCUUUAAAUUGUUAUUCACAUAUUAUUAUUGAUGAAAUACAUGAACGUGAUACCAUUAGUGAUUUUACUUUAACUAUUCUCAAGAGCAUCAUACCUGUUAGACCUGAUAUUAAAGUUAUAUUAAUGAGUGCAACAUUAAAUUCUGCAGUAUUUUCUAAGUAUUAUAAUGAUUGUCCAUCUUUGAAUGUACCUGGAUUCACAUAUCCAGUUGAAGAACUAUACUUAGAAGAUAUCUACACAUUAAAUAAGUUUAGAUAUUUUCCUAAAAAACAAACACAAAAAUCUCGCAAAACAAAGCUUGGUGAUCCAUUUAGUGAUUUUGUAAUUCCUUAUGUAAAUGAAAUGAGGAGAUUCAAUAAAUUUCCUUUAUCAUUAUUAAAUUGGUUGGAAAAUCCAAUGUCUGAAGACACAGAUUAUGAAUUAAUUUUAGAACUCAUUUAUUACAUUUGUAAUAAUAAAGAUUAUGGUGCAAUACUUGUGUUUCUUUCGGGAUGGGACCAAAUAUCAAAACUGACUAAAAUUUUAAAAGAUAAAGGCUUUGGAAAUACAUCUCGAUAUAUAUUAAUUCCUUUGCAUUCCAUGUUACCUACUGUAUCUCAAAAAUUUGUUUUUGAAUCACCACCUCCGGGUGUUCGUAAGAUCAUAUUAUCCACAAACAUAGCAGAAACUUCAGUUACUAUAGAUGAUGUAGUUUAUGUAAUUAAUAAUGGUCGGAUGAAGUUGAAAGGAUUUGAUGCAGAAAACAACAUUGGAACUCUUAAUGAAGAAUGGGUGAGCUUAGCUAAUUCUAGACAACGUCGGGGCAGAGCAGGUCGUGUGAGACCUGGUAUUUGUUAUCAUUUAUAUACAAGAGGGCGUGAAAGAUCAUUUAGUGAUUAUGUAUUACCUGAAAUGAUGCGGACAAGCUUAGAAGAAGUAAUACUUCAAGCUAAAAUAUUACAAGUUGGUAUGGUAACACCGUUCUUGGAGAAAGUAAUGAAUCCACCAGAAACCAAAACUCUCGAAGUAGCUUUAAAACUAUUGAUAGACUUGAAUGCUUUAGACGAAAAAGAAAAUUUGACUCCAUUAGGUUUUCAUCUAGCAAAAUUACCAAUCGGGCCACUUGAAGGUAAAAUGAUUAUCUUAGGUGCAAUGUUUAGUUGCUUGAGUCCAAUAAUGACAAUUGCUGCUAGUUUAAAUUUUAAAGAUCCUUUUGUCAUGCCAACAAACAAGGAAUAUCAAUGCUGUGAAAUUAAAAAAAAAAUGGAUGAAGGACAUCAAAGUGAUCAUCUUAUGGUCACAAGAGUUAUGAGUAAAUUUUUAUUAGCAAAACGAGAAAAUAAAGCAUGGGAGUUUUGUAAAGAAAAUUUCCUAAUGUUGAAUACAAUGAACAUGUUGCAUGAAUUAAAAUCUCAAUACGCUAAAUAUUUAUGUGAUCUUGGAUUUAUCAAAACGCCCACCUAUACAGCUUUUGAGUACAAUCAGAAUUCAAAUAAUAUUAAGCUUUUGAAAUGUGUUCUAACUGCUGGUUUGUGUCCCAAUAUUGCUGUUUCUUAUCCCGAGAUUAAAACAAAUGGUCAUAAAUUUUCUAAAUUUAUUACUGCUGAAGAUGGAAAAGUGGAAAUUCAUCCCAAGUCUGUGAAUUCAAUUGAUUGUUACUAUGAGAGCCCUUUAUUACUAUACCACACAAAACUAAAGACCACUUCAAUAUUUUUGCAUGAUACCACUAUGAUUUAUCCAUUUCCUGUGGUGCUGUUUGCAAAAAGUCUCAAAAUAACUGGUGAAAAAACUGACCAAGUUACUUUUAGUCUUAACCCUCAAAUAAAUUUCACUUGUUCUAAUAGAAUAGCAGUUUUUAUUAAGUUUUGUGUCAUGGAUGUAUAUUCAAGAUGGGGCAUAAUAUAAUAUAGCCAAUCUGUAUGAACUAGCUUCUGAUGUAGUAUGAUAAUUGAAAAAUAAGGAAGGCAAAGACUGAGCCAAAACAAGUAAGAAAAAGAUUGAAGUGGUUGAUUGAUCAUCUAAUGUCACAUCCUGAAGAAAUAAGUUUUAAUUCAAAUUCAGGCAGUGGGAAAGCUCUUAAACUUGUGGUUGAUCUUGUAUCCGCAGAAGAACAUCCUGGU